AAACUAUCCCCCACUGACCCUGCUGUGAGGACAAGUGCACCUCACAGCAAAGAAUAACAUAACAUAUUUUGGGAAUGUAGCCUGGCUAUAGCCACCACAAACCAUCUGGCCUCGAUAAGGCCUGACUCAACAGUCCUGAGAAAAACGAGAAUUAGGGUCAGCUUGCCCCAGAAGGAGGGUGGCCUAGAGUUGAACUGAGCCCAAGUUACAAACCAAUGAAAUUGCUUUGUGUGACUGUUGCCAACUACCUAUGUAAUUUUCCCUAUAAAUCCCUUCCCCUAAUUGGGCUCGGGGUCGACUCCUCUGUCUCUUGUGUGAGAUACAUGUCGUCCCCAGAGCUCUGGUUCCUCAAAUACACCUCUUGUUUAUUACAUCAAGACUGGUUUCUCGUGAGUUCUUGGGGGUUGCGUUGUCUCGAGGUUUGAGUGGGGGUCUUCCCCACCCCGGUGGACUUUCAUUUUGGGGGCUCGUCCGGGAUCUCGCAACCACCCACAACUCCGAAGACCUUGGAGGCUUUAGAAACAGUCCAAAGUGGAAUUUGAAGCCAAGUGAAGGACACCUACAAGAUGGGAAGUCCAGGGUGCCUCACCAGUUCCCAGCAGAAGAUGUAGUCCUGGUCCGGUGACACAAGACUGAGAAUUUAGAACCCCACUGGAAAGGACCCUAUCUAGUACUGUUAACCACUCCCACUGCUGUUAAGGUAGAUGGGAUUGCUGCAUGGGUCCACGCCUCCCAUUUGAAGACAGCACCAGAUGUUCUCAAAAAUGAAUGGAAGUUAGAAAAGACUGCGAAUCCUCUUAAGCUUCAUCUCUGUUGUAAGCACUUAUAAUCCCCAUAUCCCCCAGAAACUGAUUUGGUAAGUUUCCUCCCAGGCUGGGGAGGUAAUAUGGUCCAUCUCCAAGGUGACCCCACCAUACACAUGGUGGCCCACUCUCACCCCUGACUUUUAUAAGUUGGUAGCUGGGCUAGACACCUAGGACAUUCCUGACAGAUCUUCAGAGUAUGCCCCUAGAAGUCCCAAAGAGAUUUUCACCUGGGGGCAAGUUUGGAUGCAGAAGUCCAGAAGCAAGGAGCCAAUUGUGGAGACUGAGGUUUUACAUUUGCCCCCGAGAUGUCUGAGACCAGGCUACCAUCCAGCGUUGUGGGGGCUUAGAAAGUUUACACUGUUCUGCUUGGGGAUGUGAGACUAAUUUCCACGCUCCUAGGAUCCUUAGUUAUUCUCUUCUUACUUUUGACAUUUGGACCCUGUAUUUUUAAUAAGUUAACAGCCUUUAUUAGAGAGUUAAUACAGUACAGAUUUUAAUGCUUUACCAACAAUAUCAUGCCUCAAAAGACCUUAGGACAAAUUGAAAAAGGCCCUGAGUUCUAAGAUUAGAACUAGUCACAAGCAGAAGUGGGGAAUUAAAGAAUAAAGAUUUUAAAGUAUCCCCCACUGACCCUGCUGUGAGGACAAGUGCACCUCACAGCAAAGAAUAACAUAACAUAUUUUGGGGAUGUAGCCUGGCUAUAGCCACCACAAACCAUCUGGCCUUGAUAAGGCCUGACUCAACAGUCCUGAGAAAAACGAGAAUUAGGGUCAGCUUGCCCCAGAAGGAGGGUGGCCUAGAGUUGAACUGAGCCCAAGUUACAAACCAAUGAAAUUGCUUUGUGUGACUGUUGCCAACUACCUAUGUAAUUUUCCCUAUAAAUCCCUUCCCCUAAUUGGGCUCGGGGUCAACUCCUCUGUCUCUUGUGUGAGAUACAUGUCGUCCCCAGAGCUCUGGUUCCUCAAAUACACCUCUUGUUUAUUACAUCAAGACUGGUUUCUCGUGAGUUCUUGGGGGUUGUGUUGUCCCGAGAUUUGAGUGGGGGUCUUCCCCACCCCGGUGGUCUUUCACUCUGAGCUUAGGGUCCCCCAGCCCAGUAUAGCCAAGGCCCUGGGGCGUAUAGGGUAAAGGAAAGAACCUCAAAUUACCCUCUUUCCCUGACAGCUUCUUUCACCCGAAAUUUCCCCCCAUGCUGUAGAUGGGACAUGGGGACUGCUUCCUGGCACUCACCUAUGUCCCAGAUCUUUACUUUCAGGAUGGGGUCCAGGCUGGCCUUGGGCUUGUUCUGUAACUGAAGCAGCCUUUCCCACCAGUGCCUCGGGCUCCGAAUUUACCAGGACUGCAGGUCUACAAACCAGCCUGGCUUUUGUUUAAGACUUGGUCAAGGUUCCAGGUGAUGGUGGUUCACACCUUUAGUCCCAGCCCUUGGGAGGCAGAGGCAGGAGGAUCUCUGAGUUUGAGGCCAGCCUGGACUACAGAGUGAGUUCCAGGACACCUGGGGCUACACAGAGAAACCCUGUCCUCAAAAUCAAAGAACUUGGUCAAGGAUGCUCCUUCAUUCUAGAACCUGUGGGUCAUGACCCCUUUGGGGGCCAAAGCACCCUUUCACAGGGGUUGCUUAAGACCAUCAGAAAACACAGAUGUUUCUAUUACUAUUCUUAACAGUAGCAAAGUUAUAGUUAUGAAGUAACAAUGAAAAUAACUUUAUGGUCGGGAUUACCAUGAAGAACUGUAUUAAAGGGUCUCAGGAAGGUUGAGAACUACUGCUCUGGAAACUCCAUACAGAGGUGGGGCAGAGGGCAGUGGGAAGG
ensembl:lncRNA